rnacentral:snRNA from 1 species
GGGUGGGAGGGUGAUUGGGCUGCGACAUCUGUCACCCCAUUGAUCGCCAGGGUUGAUUCGGCAGCUCUGGCUGGCUAGGCGGGAGUCCCCUUCCGCCCUCGAUGCUCUUCCUGCGUCCCUCCGGAAGCUGCGCAUGGCCACCAGCUGAGGUAGACGAGGUCGGUUCCUGUGUGAAGGAACGCAAGCAGCUGCGCUGCCCUGUAGAACGUCCAAACACGCUCUCAAGAAUCUUGAGUGCCAACAGAAAUGCUAUCUUCUUUCAGCAGUGUCUGGGACACUUACAAAAG